rnacentral:piRNA from 1 species
AGGUAAAGAAUCCUGCACCCAUUGGUA